ACCCUGUAUAUAAGUCUCCACCACCACCUAAGAAGCCCUACCACCCUUCACCAACCCCAUAUCAUCCUGUACCCGUUUAUAAAUCUCCACCCCCACCAACUCCAGUUUACAAGUCGCCACCACCACCCAAGAAGCCACAAUAUCCUCCACACAUCCCGGUUUAUAAGUCGCCACCACCACCAACUCCCGUUUACAAGUCACCACCACCACCCAAGAAGCCACACUACCCUCCACACAUCCCUGUUUAUAAGUCACCACCACCGCCCAAGAAGCCAUACUAUCCUCCACAUACUCCAGUUUACAAGUCGCCACCACCACCAACUCCGGUUUACAAGUCACCACCGCCACCCAAGAAACCAUACUAUCCUCCACACAUCCCUGUUUACAAAUCUCCACCACCACCUACUCCAGUUUACAAGUCGCCACCACCACCCAAGAAGCCAUACUACCCUCCACACACCCCGGUUUAUAAGUCUCCACCACCACCAACUCCUGUUUACAAGUCACCACCACCACCCAAGAAGCCAUACUAUCCUCCACACACACCAGUUUACAAGUCGCCACCACCACCUACUCCCGUUUACAAGUCACCACCACCACCAACACCCGUUUACAAGUCACCACCACCACCUAAGAAGCCACACCAUCCUUCACCAACCCCAUAUCAUCCUGCACCAGUUUACAAGUCCCCACCACCACCUAAGAAGCCAGACCACCCUUCACCAACACCGUAUCAUCCUGCACCAGUUUACAAAUCCCCACCGCCACCUACUCCAGUUUACAAGUCACCACCACCUUCAGUGAAGCCAUACCAUCCUUCACCAACACCAUAUCAUCCUGCACCAGUUUAUAAGCCUCCACCACCACCAACUCCUGUCUACAAGUCACCUCCACCACCAACUCCAGUCUACAAGUCUCUACCACCGCACCACCCCUAUCUUUACACUUCUCCUCCUCCUCCCUACCAUUACUAAGAAGUGUCAUCGCAAAGUUGAAGG
rnacentral:lncRNA from 1 species